rnacentral:rRNA from 1 species
UACGGGGGGGGCAAGCGUUGUUCGGAAUUACUGGGCGUAAAGGGCUCGUAGGCGGCCACCGCAAGUCAGUUGUGAAAUCUCUGGGCUUAACCCAGAAAGGUCAACUGAUACUGCGGGGCUAGAGUGCAGAAGGGGCAACUGGAAUUCUCGGUGUAGCGGUGAAAUGCGUAGAUAUCGAGAGGAACACCAAUGGCGAAGGCAGCUCGCUGGGACGGUACUGACGCUGAGGCGCGAAAGCGUGGGGAGCAAACAGG